GCAGCCGCCACGGUAAUACGAAGGGUGCAAGCGUUAAUCGGAAUUACUGGGCGUAAAGCGUGCGUAGGCGGUGAGUUAAGUCUGCUGUGAAAUCCCCGGGCUCAACCUGGGAAUGGCAGUGGAUACUGGCUCGCUAGAGUGUGUCAGAGGAUGGUGGAAUUCCCGGUGUAGCGGUGAAAUGCGUAGAGAUCGGGAGGAACAUCAGUGGCGAAGGCGGCCAUCUGGGACAACACUGACGCUGAGGCACGAAAGCGUGGGGAGCAAACAGGAUUAGAUACCCCCGUAGUCCCUGUCUCUUAUAA
rnacentral:rRNA from 1 species